CAACCCUCAGUCCCAGAACUCAGCCCCCAAAAUCCACCCACCCCUCUCCUCCGUCUCCUCCUCUCUUCCGCCGGCGCCACAGACCCCGCGAUUGUUGUGCCUUCACUCUUCGCCGCGGGUGCAGGUUUGGGUGCUCCCGGUUUCGGUCCCUUUAAUCUUUUCGAUGUCGCAUAAGCGGCAACCUGAAGAGGAGGAGAAAGCGGCGUCCGGCGGGGGCUCCGAUGAGAAGCGGCAGAAAGUUCCCGCUCUCAAAGAGGUUAUAGUGGAGGCCUUGAAGAUGAAUAGAGUGCAGAAGUUGUUGACAGCUCUGGAGCCCUUGGUUCGAAGAGUUCUAAAAAUGCAAGGAGGACAAUUUUUCGAUGAUACUUUUUGAUGCUAAAGGCUUCGAUAUCUCUUAUGAAGGUGACCGAAGAGAUGAAGAAUGGGCAAUAGCACUUGAAAAGUAUGUUAAAGACUAUCCAGAUGU